GUCACUUUGCCGGAGUGGUAACGGGAUCGCCUGCUACAAGUAGCUAAGCGGUUGGGCUUUGCCCGCGAGUGUUCGAAUCGCUCAGGUGACG
rnacentral:tRNA from 1 species